rnacentral:misc_RNA from 1 species
GAUGAAGAACGUAGUGAAAUGCGAUAAGUAAUGUGAAUUGCAGAAUCUCGUGAAUCAUCGAAUCUUUGAACGCACAUUGCGCCCUUUGGUAUUCCAAAGGGCAUGCCUGUUCGAGCGUCAUUUGUACCCUCAAGCUUUGCUUGGUGUUGGGCGUCUUGUCUCCAGUCCGCUGGAGACUCGCCUUAAAGUCAUUGGCAGCCGGCCUACUGGUUUCGGAGCGCAGCACAAGUCGCACUCUUUUCCAGCCAAGGUCAGUGUCCAACAAGCCUUUUUUCAACUUUUGACCUCGGAUCAGGUAGGGAUACCCGCUGAACUUAAGCAUAUCAAUAAGCGGAGGA